rnacentral:lncRNA from 1 species
CAUGAACUAACUCCUCAUCUACACUAGGUCUUUUCUUACAAAACAAAUCCCAAUUGAAAGCUUCAGCAACUUGUCGAAUGUGCGCCAUGAAAACAAUAUAAGGGGCAAGUUUUCAGAGUGAUUUUCCAGUUAAGGUUCCAGUGAAAGCUCUUGUAUUGCCCCAUUUAUAGUCUUGUCCAGCCAGCUCUCUUGCCAGUAUUGGAUAGACCAUCAAGUAAAGCAUGCCCGAGUGUGAUAAAGUAAGGAGAUUUUUCCAGAUCAAGAUGGGAACAUCUCACUAAGUAGUGAGGCAUGAUCUUACCAAGUCUGUAGCUUUCUCACUCAUGCUUCACACAAAAUCGAGAUGAAAGAAGAUCAGACGUUGCCCGAUAAACUACUCGGGACUCCCCAUGGUUUAGUAAAAGGGAAGGGAGAUUUUCUCUUCAUCCGGGGUUCAUUUCAUUCAUUAUGAACUCAAAAGUUUAAGGCUGAUUAGUGAGGU